AUUGAACGCUGGCGGCAUGCUUUACACAUGCAAGUCGAACGGCAGCGCGGGGCAACCUGGCGGCGAGUGGCGAACGGGUGAGUAAUACAUCGGAACGUACCCAGAAGUGGGGGAUAACGUAGCGAAAGUUACGCUAAUACCGCAUACGUUCUACGGAAGAAAGUGGGGGACCUUCGGGCCUCAUGCUUUUGGAGCGGCCGAUGUCUGAUUAGCUAGUUGGUGAGGUAAAGGCUCACCAAGGCGACGAUCAGUAGCUGGUCUGAGAGGACGACCAGCCACACUGGGACUGAGACACGGCCCAGACUCCUACGGGAGGCAGCAGUGGGGAAUUUUGGACAAAGGGCGCAAGCCUGAUCCAGCAAUGCCGCGUGAGUGAAGAAGGCCUUCGGGUUGUAAAGCUCUUUUGUCAGGGAAGAAACGGCUGAGGAUAAUACCUUCGGCUAAUGACGGUACCUGAAGAAUAAGCACCGGCUAACUACGUG
rnacentral:rRNA from 1 species